rnacentral:tRNA from 1 species
GUGUUUAAAGCUUUGUGAUUGAAGCAUAGUACUUUUAAUACUAAUAAUCUUCUUUGUAGAUAAGCACA